GAUGAACGCUGGCGGCGUGCCUAAUACAUGCAAGUCGAGCGAACAGACGAGGAGCUUGCUCCUCUGACGUUAGCGGCGGACGGGUGAGUAACACGUGGAUAACCUACCUAUAAGACUGGGAUAACUUCGGGAAACCGGAGCUAAUACCGGAUAAUAUAUUGAACCGCAUGGUUCAAUAGUGAAAGACGGUUUUGCUGUCACUUAUAGAUGGAUCCGCGCCGCAUUAGCUAGUUGGUAAGGUAACGGCUUACCAAGGCGACGAUGCGUAGCCGACCUGAGAGGUUGAUCGGCCACACUGGAACGGAGACACGGUCCAGACUCCUACGGGAGGCAGCAGUAGGGAAUCUUCCGCAAUGGGCGAAAGCCUGACGGAGCAACGCGGCGUGAGUGAUGAAGGUCUUCGGAUCGUAAAACUCUGUUAUUAGGGAAGAACAAAUGUGUAAGUAACUAUGCACGUCUUGACGGUACCUAAUCAGAAAGCCACGGCUAACUACGUG
rnacentral:rRNA from 1 species